AUUGAACGCUGGCGGCAGGCCUAACACAUGCAAGUCGAGCGGAGCGGCGGACGGGGGAGUACUGCCUAUGAAUCUGCCUGGUAGUGGGGGAUAACGUCAGGAAACGGGCGCUAAUACCGCAUACUCUCGGAUGCGCCUAGGUCGGAUUAGCUAGUUGGUGGGGGAAAGGACUACCAAGGCGAAGCUCCGUAACUGGUCUGAGAGGAUGAUGAGUCACACUGGAAAUGAGACACGGUCCAGACUCCUACGGGAGGCAGCAGUGGUGAAUAUUGGACAAUGGGCGAAAGCCUGAUCCAGCCAUGCCGCGUGGGUGAAGAAGGUCUUCGGAUGGUAAAGUACUUUCAGCGGGGAGGCGUUACCCGCAGAAGAAGCACCGGCUAACUCCGUGCCAGCAGCCGCGGUAAUUC
rnacentral:rRNA from 1 species